UACGUAGGGUGCGAGCGUUAAUCGGAAUUACUGGGCGUAAAGCGCGCGCAGGUGGUCUUUCAAGUCAGUGGUGAAAGCCCGGAGCUCAACUCCGGAAAUGCCAUUGAAACUGUGAGACUUGAGGAUGAGAGAGGUGAGUGGAAUUCCCAGUGUAGAGGUGAAAUUCGUAGAUAUUGGGAAGAACACCGGUGGCGAAGGCGGCUCACUGGCUCAUAUCUGACGCUCAGGCGCGACAGCGUGGGGAUCAAACAGG
rnacentral:rRNA from 1 species